GAAGAGUACAUGGGGAUGGAGAUAUUCCUAAUAGGAAUAAUACACUGUGUAGAAUAUCAAUCCUUCUUAGUAUUCCCCAUAUUUAGGCUUAUAUCUGGAUUCUUUUCUCCUCUUUCCUCUUCCUUGGAAUGACUUGCACCCAUUAUAGUAGUUCUUCCAAACUGAUGCCCUCUGUGAUUGAAUUACAAUUUCAUAACAUCCCCAGUUGGCAUGGCCAUGAAGCUAAAGAGUUAGUAGGAAUGGAAUCAUUUUAAGAUACCAAAGAAAGAUAAUCCAUUAUUUAUUAGAUUUCUUUUAUCCUGCCUUUAUUUCAUAAAUAACUCAAGGCAAUGAACAUAAUAUUCCCUCCUCCUCC